AAGAAAAGAGUCUGUCAAAUUAGUCAAAGGAGACUGCCUGCUACCACACAAGGGCUUUAUAAAUGUUCAACAUUUUUUGAAAGACCAUUGAGGACAGAUGAGGCAAGUCAUCCUUGGCUACCAAACUAGCACUCUUUUCU
rnacentral:pre_miRNA from 1 species